rnacentral:rRNA from 1 species
UUGGUGGCGACCGGCGCACGGGUGAGUAACGCGUAUGCAACCUACUUUAUCAGAGGGGAAUAACCCGGCGAAAGUCGGACUAAUACCGCAUAAAACAGGGACACCGCAUGGUGAUAUUUGUUAAAGAAAUUCGCUGAUAGAUGGGCAUGCGUUCCAUUAGGUAGUUGGUGAGGUAACGGCUCACCAAGCCGACGAUGGAUAGGGGAACUGAGAGGUUGGUCCCCCACACUGGUACUGAGACACGGACCAGACUCCUACGGGAGGCAGCAGUGAGGAAUAUUGGUCAAUGGGCGAGAGCCUGAACCAGCCAAGUCGCGUGAAGGAAGAAGGAUCUAUGGUUCGUAAACUUCUUUUGCAGGGGAAUAAAGUGCAGGACGUGUCCUGUUUUGUAUGUACCCUGAGAAUAAGGAUCGGCUAACUCCGUGCCAGCAGCCGCGGUAAUACGGAGGAUCCGAGCGUUAUCCGGAUUUAUUGGGUUUAAAGGGUGCGUAGGUGGUUUGAUAAGUCAGCGGUGAAAGUUUGCAGCUUAACUGUAAAAAUGCCGUUGAAACUGUCGGACUUGAGUGUAAAUGAGGUAGGCGGAAUGCGUGGUGUAGCGGUGAAAUGCUUAGAUAUCACGAAGAACUCCGAUUG